AUUGAACGCUGGCGGCAGGCCUAACACAUGCAAGUCGAACGAGUGGCGGACGGGUGAGUAAUGUCUGGGAAUCUGCCUGAUGGAGGGGGAUAACUACUGGAAACGGUAGCUAAUACCGCAUACCAUCAGAUGGGCCCAGGUGGGAUUAGGUAGUUGGUGGGGUAACGGCUCACCAAGGCGACGAUCCCUAGCUGGUCUGAGAGGAUGACCAGCCACACUGGGACUGGGACACGGCCCAGACUCCUACGGGAGGCAGCAGUGGGGAAUAUUGCACAAUGGGCGCAACCCUGAUGCAGCCAUGCCGCGUGUAUGAAGAAGGCCUUCGGGUUGUAAAGUACUUUCAGCGGCGAGGCGUUACCCGCAGAAGAAGCACCGGCUAACUCCGUGCCAGCAGCCGCGGUAAUAC
rnacentral:rRNA from 1 species